rnacentral:rRNA from 1 species
GGGCGAAAGCCUGAUCCAGCAACGCCGCGUGAGGGAUGACGGCUUCGGGUUGUAAACCUCUUUCAGCAGGGACGAAGCGCAAGUGACGGUACCUGCAGAAGAAGCACCGGCCAACUACGUGCCAGCAGCCGCGGUAAUACGUAGGGUGCGAGCGUUGUCCGGAAUUAUUGGGCGUAAAGGGCUCGUAGGCGGUUUGUCACGUCGGGAGUGAAAACUCGGGGCUUAACCCCGAGCCUGCUUCCGAUACGGGCUGACUAGAGGUAUGCAGGGGAGAACGGAAUUCCUGGUGUAGCGGUGAAAUGCGCAGAUAUCAGGAGGAACACCGGUGGCGAAGGCGGUUCUCUGGGCAUUACCUGACGCUGAGGAGCGAAAGUGUGGGGAGCGAACAGGAUUAGAUACCCUGGUAGUCCACACCGUAAACGUUGGGCGCUAGGUGUGGGACUCAUUCCACGAGUUCCGUGCCGCAGCUAACGCAUUAAGCGCCCCGCCUGGGGAGUACGGCCGCAAGGCUA